rnacentral:rRNA from 1 species
AAGGCUAAAUAUAGGCGAGAGACCGAUAGUGAACAAGUACAGUGAUGGAAAGAUGAAAAGAACUUUGAAAAGAGAGUGAAAAAGUACGUGAAAUUGUUGAAAGGGAAGGGCUUGAGAUCAGACUUGGAUUUUAAUGAUCAACUGUCUUUCGGGACUGUGCACUCGUUAUUUUCUAGGCCAACAUCAGUUUUGACGGUGAGAAAAAAGUAAUGGAAUGUGACUUUGCUUCGGUAAAGUGUUAUAGCCAUCUACAAAUAUCACCAGUCGAGACUGAGGACCGCGCAUUUAUGCUAGGAUGUUGGCGUAAUGAUCUUAAGCCACCCGUCUUGAAACACGGACCAAGGAGUCUAACGUCUAUGCGAGUGUUAGGGUGUAAAACCCUUGCGCGUAAUGAAAGUGAACGUAGAGGAGAACCUCUUAGGUGCAUCCUCGACCGAUCCUGAUGUCUUCGGAUGGAUUUGAGUAAGAGCAUAGCUGUUGGGACCCGAAAGAUGGUGAACUAUGCCUGAAUAGGGUGAAGCCAGAGGAAACUCUGGUGGAGGCUCGUAGCGAUUCUGACGUGCAAAUCGAUCGUCAAAUUUGGGUAUAGGGGCGAAAGACUAAUCG